UGCGGUUCCGGUUGAGGGCUAACUCCAGAAGUUGCUGUUGGCCAAGGAAGGCGCCCGGCUCUAAGGCCCACAGGCUGUUGUUCUGCAUGUAGAGAGGUCAGAAAGCUUCUCGAGAAAGAUGAUUUCUCUAGUUGCCAGAGGUGCUCAAAGUCAGUGGCCACUGAGGCAGUGAAGAGGGAGAACUGAAUAACUGCACAAGGAUAGAAUUUGUCAACCUCCAGAGCAGGAAACUGAGGCAGAAGAGAGACUGAGUGACAUGCCCAUGGUCACACAACUAUCAAGUUUCUGAGGCUGUAUUUGAACUUGGGUCUUCCUAACUCCAGGAACUUUCUGCCACCGCACUCACUGUGCCACUUAGCUGCCCUGGUUCGAGAAGGAUUGGCAGAUAGGACUGAUAAGCAUUGGCCAUGAUGCACACAAGCCGUGGUGAAUGGGAGAGGUAUUGGAGGACAAUUAUCCACAAGAAGCAGGAUCUGGCACACAGGAAUAAGGAUGAGGGCUGGAUCUGGAUUUUACUGUUAUAUGGAACUUCCAGGUGAGAAACUGUCUCCACUAAUCCAGGUCCCUGAUUUUCUUAGUAGCUUAAAGAAUUGCCUAGAAUACUGAGGGUAAGAACUGCUCCGAGGUCACAUAAUUAGUAUGUGUAAGAGGAGGAACUUGAAAUCCGUCUUCAAGGACAGCUCUCUCUCUUAGCUGCCUGCCAAGUAUUACAUAAUGAAUGCAUUUAGAUCAAUUUUUUAAAAAGGGAAUUGAAUCAGUCUUCGGGUUCCAAUGAACUUUGAUAUGACAAAAUUUUGGAACAUAUUAUUAAAAAAGUAGUUAGUAAACAUUUAGCCAGAAAUGGUGAUCACAGAGAUUUCAUUUGGGUCAGGCCAAAUUAACAUUUCUUCUGCAUUGUACAAGAUGUUCCUAAAUUCUCAGUUUUCAUCUUAAAUGGCUUAGCCAUUAAUGGGUUAUUAGAUUGAUAGGUGAAAGCAAUGCUAUUGACAGGGUUUAUCUAUCUAAUUAUUCUAAAGAAGAAAUCUGGUCUCUAAACACAUUUCCCUUUGGUUUAAGUGAAAUCCACGUGCAGAUACCAACAAAAUUAGGGAAAAAGGAAGAAAUAAAAUGCGGUGAAAGGAUCAUCAAUUCAGAGCUGGAUGGGGUUUUAAAAGUUCAUCCAUUCUGAUCCCCCUUGAUUUUAUAAACAAGGAAAUGGAGUCCUCAAGAAGUCAAAGUCCCAUAGGCAGUAAGUAAGUAAGGAGCGGAGGCUAAUCUGAAGCCAGGCCUCUGACUGCAAGGUUGGAAGGCUUGCCUCCAUAUCCACUGCCUCACAGAUCCACUUCCCCUCACUCACAGCCCCAGAGAAGUGUGCCUUCUACUUCUGUCCCUAGUCCCUAGCACAGUGCAUGUUGUAGGGAGUCGAUAAAUAUUCCUUGAAGUUAAUAAGCACUCUCUGGAUCAUUUACAACAAAUGUUCAAUUUCAGGUUGGAGUGGGGUCUGAUCGUUUACUGGCAAUGUGGCCUGAUUUUUAGGCAGCAAUCUGGAAAUUAGAUUUAUCUAGAUAAUUGAGAAUGUCAAACAAUCACAGAAUUGGGAAUUAAAAGGGACAUGGCACCCAUCCGGUCCAACUCCAGCCUGGAAGGAACCUCGACUAUAAUGUGGCCAGUAAGUGGUCAUCUAGCCUCUGACUGAAGAAUUCCACGGAGAUUAAACCCAGGACCUUGAAGGCAGCCUAUUUCACUUUUGUCCAGUUUCAGUCAUUGGGAAGUUGUCCCAAGGCCUUUCCCAUCUUGUUGCUCUCCUCUGGACACUCCCGGUGCCCAUGAUGGAUUACACCAUCCUCUGCAGUCUGACCAGGGCAGAGGCUGCUGGGACCACUGUGCCCCCCUGUUGUUGUGCCUCCUGCUUUCUCAUUGACUGCUUUCAGUCCACUGAAUCCCCUCCCCAUCUUUUAGAGAACAACUAUCUCACCAAGCUGCCCCCCAAGAUGAUUUGGGAGGGGAGGUAUCUAAAUGUAAGACUACAUCAAGACUAAUUUUCCUUUUGGCAGCUUUCAGUUAGGACCCUGACUCUGUCAUCCAGCACCUUAGCCAAGCUUAGCCUGUCAGAGGCAACGUUUAUGAGCAUGCCAUUUAUCCCUUUAUCCAACUGAGUGAUUAAAAUGUCAAGCAAAGCCAAGGGCAGAUCCUGGGGUGCUCCACUGCUGCUUCUGCCACAACAACAUCCAACCAUUAAUGAGUCCAAGGCUGGCUAACUGACUUGUUCUGAAGACAUUGAAUUGGAUUAUUGUCUAGUGCCCAUCUCACCUCUAUCUUUUCCAUAAAAAUAUUGAGAUAUUUUAUCUAAAGCUUACUAAAAAUCCAGAUAAACUAUAUCUAGAGUAAUUUCCCUCAUCUCCUAGUUCAGUAAUCCUGUCAAAAAAGUAAAGAGGUUACAUGACCUAGAUUUCUGCCCAUCUUCCUUCCUCCCUGCAUCCAGCUGCCCCUUCCCUCUACUCUGCUCAGUACUUCCUCUCCUCCCUCUGUACCAGAGUCUUGUCAGAAGGUUAAAUUACAUCUGAUUUGGGCCAAGAAGGAGCCGCAGCUGUCCAAUUAAGCUAAUCAGAGCCAGCUUGACAGCAGGGAAGGAAGAUCUUUCACCAAUUCUCCAACCUCCUAUUGACAAUCUAUUUCCUUUGCCAUCUCAAGUCUCCCACUUACUUUCUCUUUUUUCCCUAGGCCCUGGCCUUUGAGCUUGCUUUCCUAAAGUGUUGAGUGGUUGAGGAACUCCUAAAGAAUAUAUAAACUCAACUCAGAGAUUCAUGUAAAGAGACUUUACUGUGUUUUGUUACUAGAUAGAAGCCGUAGAAAAAACACCAAUUAUUUAUUUUUAUUAAAAAAAAUUUUAGGUCAUA